AUUUGAGAGUUUGAUCCUGGCUCAGGACGAACGCUGGCGGCGUGCCUAAUACAUGCAAGUUGAGCGAUGAAGAUUGGUGCUUGCACCAAUUUGAAGAGCAGCGAACGGGUGAGUAACGCGUGGGGAAUCUGCCUUUGAGCGGGGGACAACAUUUGGAAACGAAUGCUAAUACCGCAUAACAACUUUAAACAUAAGUUUUAAGUUUGAAAGAUGCAAUUGCAUCACUCAAAGAUGAUCCCGCGUUGUAUUAGCUAGUUGGUGAGGUAAAGGCUCACCAAGGCGAUGAUACAUAGCCGACCUGAGAGGGUGAUCGGCCACAUUGGGACUGAGACACGGCCCAAACUCCUACGGGAGGCAGCAGUAGGGAAUCUUCGGCAAUGGACGAAAGUCUGACCGAGCAACGCCGCGUGAGUGAAGAAGGUUUUCGGAUCGUAAAACUCUGUUGGUAGAGAAGAACGUUGGUGAGAGUGGAAAGCUCAUCAAGUGACGGUAACUACCCAGAAAGGGACGGCUAACUACGUGCCAGCAGCCGCGGUAAUACGUAGGUCCCGAGCGUUGUCCGGAUUUAUU
rnacentral:rRNA from 1 species